AAUUCUUAAUCUAAAAUAUAUUUUAAAUAGACAAAGGACAUAAUGAGCUAAAGGGAAUUUAUGCAUAUCCCUCCUUGGUUUUUGAUUAAAUGCUCAAAAAGACUUCUGUCGUAAGAUGAUUAAAUGUCUUUCUAGGUUACUGACAAACCAGGUUAGUGGAAAAUGAGCCCUCAACCGUUCUCCCUGUGGCCUUCCCUGCUCCUGCUGGCCUUUUAGAUAUCUCCCACAGUCUCUCUUCGACAGCUGGCUCAAGGCCAAUUUUGAGCCUCUGAAGAAUGUAGACAGACUUUAAGCUAUGCAGUUGUGCAACACCACAGAGGAACACUCAAGCAAUGGCUCCAGCCCAGGAACAGACAGUCACAGCUGUUACCUUCUAUUGCAAGUCUUCUUCAUAAGGAAUGGCUGCUGAGCACAUGCCUGACCUGAGCAGUUACGAGGGCUGUGCAUCUCUGCCUCUUCUUCGACAGAUCUAUUCAGCUACGAGACUCCAGAGAGUUCAGCAACCUCUUAUCUGGUAUGUGUCUCUCUUCAUCCAGCUUGGACCCCCAAGUGGAGCAUGCCUCCAUUGUUUGUGAGUUCUGUCUCAGCUCAGAGUGGAUGGGCGCACAGUUCCAGGGGAGCAAGGAUGUGUGCAACAGAAACUAGUGUUAGCCACACUUGUUCAUCUAGGUGGAUCAUCUCCAGAGACUGAAGAUAUCAGCAGGGCCUAGGAUAUCUGGGCGGCUCCUUCUCCUUCUGCUCCCAGCCCCAAAUCUAACCCUUCAAUAAGGUGAGUCAAUUUUAUCUUCAAAAUAUCUCUUAAACUUUUACCUCUCUUCAAAUCCUACCCAGAUUCUGUCUAUGCUGUUCUUGUCUCCAUAAGAGAUGCCACUUCUUUCUGCACUUGUAGCCAUUUAUUAUCAUCACUUUUAUAAUGAAGACCUAAAUCUUAACAUAGGCACAUCUCAGCAUGCCCUGGACACCACUCACAUUUCAACACCAGCAUUGAUAUGACACUCUCGAUGCCGAAAUUUAGUUACCCUAACUCUAAAUAAAUGUCCAUGCCCAUGUGAAGGUCUUUGUAUGCCCAUGGCUUUUUCAAAAAAUCUCACUAAUAUUUAUCACACAUGUAUCCACUGGCCACUGUGCUCUUGUUUCAAAUACUCUGUGGGCACGAAGGAUGCUUGGGCUGAGUAACACAGAGCCUCCUUCCUUCACCUCCUCGCAGCCCCGCACGUGAGCUUCCUUCUCUGUGCUUCUGUGGGACUUGAGCACAUAAUCACCGUAAGUGGAUGAGAUGUGCGGGAGUAAGUAAAAAUUAAGAGGAACAACAAACAAACAAACAAACCCCCAAGAAAUAAACUCAUCUUCCUUUACGGGAAGUGGAGAGAAAAGGUUGCUAAUAAAUGGUUUCAUCUUAAUGGAAAAAAAUGUAGUACUGUUUCAUGCUUAAUUAUACAGUUGCUAAAGACUUUGGAUUGCUUCUGGUUCCUGCCUGACCAGAAGCCCACGUCAGGGUGCCCAGGAGAUUUUAGUCUCAUCUGCUGGCAAUGACACUAAGGAUUUGAGUUUCCACCUCCCAGGGAGGGAAGGGAGAUGGGAGUGGGCUACAGAACUGAUCAUAAGGAAGAGUCAUUCCAGGGGAGUUGAGCUAGAAAACUCACACAAUUUCUCCUUUUCAGGUUACUGGGAAGAAGGUUAAGCCCAUUUAUUUACUUUCUGUAGAUGACUGGUCCAUUUCCUCACACACUCACAAAUCACUCUGUAAAUUAACACAUCAUGAAUACUUAAACAGUGAAUCUGAUUUUUGGAGACUUGUCAAAAACAUGUUUAAAAAAAAACUGCUAAACUAAAAAUCAAAUUUUGACUUAUGAUAUUUCCAAAGAAAAUCAGCUUCUGAAAUGAACUUGUGAGAAAAUAACCAACCAGCAACCCUCUGUCCUUCCCUGGUUAAUGAAACAGGGGAGGCUGCUGUGGGAAGAGGAAAUCAUCCGGGAACUCCAGACAGGGAAGAAGGCUACAUUCUUACCGAGUGGCUUGCGUUAGCAUUGCUGUGGCCUCGGCACACUGUUACAUUGGGGAGAAGAUGUUAAAGUAGAUCUUCAAUGGUUCUUGCUCUUUUGCUGCAUACCUCACAAUCAUGCAUUGGAAUAGACAGAGGCAGCACUAGGAAAUGUCACCUAUACUUUUCAAUUACAAAGGACAUGAAUUUCAGAGGGAGUUGUUAUCCAUAAAGAUAGUAGUAGAACAUUCUAAAUUACUUUUACCUUAAACUUUAAUCUAGAUUGGGUUCAACAACUCAUCUGGUAAAGAAAGUCAUUUGCCACCAAGUCUGACAAUAUAAGUUUAAGUCUUAAAACCCCAUACACAAAAAACAAACAAACAAAUAAACAAACAAUAUAAAAAAAUACUUAAUCUAUUACAUUUUCUUAGUUCAGACAAUGUACAGCCAAGCAUCAUAUGAUAGCAAUGGCCAGUGGCAACACAAUAUAGGAAAAUUUAAUCAGCUUGCAACAUCUCACACAUCUUAGCUAUACAUACACUCAGAGUGAAAUCUUCUGAUGACACCUGCCUCAGAUCAUGCGUAUUCCCGCCAGGUUGUGUUUUUAGCACAGGCCUUGGCUUUUAGGUUGACUACAGUUUCCUUCAUCUAUAUUUUGGUUUUAUUAAUAGAAGUCUUAUUUUGUUUCUUCCAACAGUAGAGGGUUGCCCUUAUAAUAAUCCUCUAGUAACUUAAAGAAAAUACUUAUUUCCCAGUUAUCCUGUCUUGCCUAAGUCUGUACUAUGUAUGACAGUGAUGCACAUGCUAAGGGGGAUGCAAGUGGGAUAUGGGGUGGCCAUUCUUGUAUGUAAACAAGACAGACAUGCAUGCCUUCAUGAAGGUUUAUUUUCAGGGCAGAGAAGCCUCAACCGGAGGUAUAGGAAGGGAGAGAAGAGGUGUGGGGAUAUACAGUAGGCCAACUCAUUGUAAGGAUCUUUUGUGAUUCUUAGCAUUCAUUUUAGUAUUUGUUCAUUUGUGAAGUGCUUUGGAACCAAAGAGGAAACACAUACACCAGUCUUCAAGCAGGUACUAAUUCAGAGAGAAGACAAAAAUAACUUGAUUGUAUCAUAAAGCUGGGAUGAGAUAAAAAUCAUAUAGGCAAAAUUCAGAGCUGAGGCCCAAGACAUAAGGCCACUGGGAAAAGUUCUGCCUUAGCGCUUCCAGAAAGACACAGGUGACACAAAUCUCACACCAUUUCUGUGGCUCCCCCCAGCACUUUUCAUCCUGAUGCUUCCUACCCUAAACCUCUCCAGCCCAGCAGCUAGUCUCCACUCCCCAUCCCUGUAUAACUCAGCCAUUUUGGCUAUGCACUCCCUUGGUACACACACUGUCUUAGUUAGAGGUUUAUUGUUGUGUAGAGACCCCCAUGACCACAGCAACUUUUAUAAAGGAAAACACUUAAUUGGAGCUAGCUUACAGUUUAAUAAGUUCAGUUCAUUAGCCUCAUGGCCGGAAGCAUGGAACAUUCAGGCAGGCAUGGUGCAGGAAAAUGAACCGAGAGUUCCACAUCUUGUUUUGCAGGUAGCAGAAGGAAACUGACACACGAAGCCUGGCUAGAGCAUAUAUGAGAUCUCAAAGCCCACCUUCACAGUGACACACUUCCUCCACCAAGACUACACCUACUCUAACAAGGCCACACUUUCAAAUACCACCACUCCCAUGUGCCAAGCAUUCUAACACAUAUGUCUGUGGGGAAUAGCCCUAUUCAAACCACCACCCACUCUCUUGACCUCUUGGUUGGUGGCUCCUCUCUUGUUCUGCUUGCCCCUCCUUAUCUUCCUCUCUUACCCAUCUCUCCAUGACCCAGUUCAGUCUGGACUCUGUCAGAUGUCUCUGGCUAUUUCCCCCCCUCAUAUCUAUGAUAAAACCAUCUCCUCAACCAUAUCUAGAAGUGGCCAUGUCCUCAUUUUUCAUUUACAGACAAGUUUCAUUUUGUUCUUGAGAGCAAAGACAGUUCAGUAUGGUUGGAACUGGAGAGAAGUUAAAUGUAGGAAAGACGGAGGAAGGAGAGUAGAUGAGGCUGGAGAAGAGGCAGGGAGGACUCAAAUGCAGUGGCCGAGGCUGGGGAAAGGUGGCUUUCAGGAGUGCAGAGGUGAGGUCAACCUGGAUUAGGUAUAACAUGGGGUUGGAAGUAGAAUGUUUGAGUGAGAAUUCAUGAAGAGCAAGAGCAAUACUUACAAGUUCAAAAUAAGGAGAUUAAAGGACACAGAUAAGUCCUAUUUUGCACCUGUUGGGUUUGAGUUGUCUUUAUUGUAAUAUCCAUCAAGGAUGUGCAACCAUGCAUAAAGAUCUGGACCAGAGAUUUGAAGUUUAGGGAUCAUAAAUUUGUUGGUGUUGCCCUGGGAUAGACUUUUGUUAAGAAGAGAAUUAAGCACAACAAGCAAAAUCCAAAGCUACAUAGGGAUAGUGACAUAAAAAUUAUCUAGAGUUCUUAGACAUAGUUGGGAGGAGCCAAAAGUUAGGUAUAAAGUAAUAUAAUUUAUGAUUUUGAAAAUUACCUGUAGCCUCCCCCAGCCUUGAGCAGGCUGGCUCAGACCUGUUCUGCCACUGUGAAUGAGACCACCUAGGGUGGAGUCUUCAGACCUAGAUAGGUCUAUUGUUCUGCCACCUGCACUCUUCUCCAAGAUGCUGGUACUCCGGAGAGGUUGAAACCUGUCUUCCUGAGAUAAGCAACACCCUGGACCAAGUGCUAACAGGAUGGCGACAAAGCAUCAAGAGCCUGGCGUGGCGGGGGAUGGGCCUUCCCCCUUUAUAAGCUUAGACUCUUAAGUAAACAUUGUGCCUUGAUCAGAAAA